rnacentral:rRNA from 1 species
UUAGGAGAUGGCGACCGGCGCACGGGUGAGUAACACGUAUCCAACCUGCCCUUUACUCGGGGAUAGCCUUUCGAAAGAAAGAUUAAUACCCGAUAGCAUAAUGAUUCCGCAUGGUUUCAUUAUUAAAGGAUUCCGGUAAAGGAUGGGGAUGCGUUCCAUUAGGUUGUUGGUGAGGUAACGGCUCACCAAGCCUUCGAUGGAUAGGGGUUCUGAGAGGAAGGUCCCCCACAUUGGAACUGAGACACGGUCCAA